CCUACGGGAGGCAGCAGUAAGGAAUAUUGGUCAAUGGACGAAAGUCUGAACCAGCCAUGCCGCGUGGAGGAUGAAGGUCCUCUGGAUUGUAAACUUCUUUUAUAUGGGACGAAAAAAGGCUUUUCUAAGUCGUCUGACGGUACCAUAUGAAUAAGCACCGGCUAACUCCGUGCCAGCAGCCGCGGUAAU
rnacentral:rRNA from 1 species